rnacentral:lncRNA from 1 species
CUGGGUCGGUGCAAGUGGUGGAAAUGAAGGCUGCUGGGGUCUCUGCUGACUCUGAGGGCAUUGAGCAGCCUUAUGACCCAUCUAUCCACAAGAAAAACAUCCAUUGUUGCCUUUCCUACACUCCCCAAAAUGCCGAUUAUUACACUUGCAGCAUAAGGGAGCACCAGAUCCACCUGGACCACCAAAAUCUCUCUGUCUCUGGAACCUCGGACCUCCAGUGAAUCUACCACCUCUCCUCUGCAUAUUAGUACUAUAUCCUUCGCUAGAAGAGCUGAAACUGCCACCACUCCUCUUAAAGUUCUGGGUCUUGCGGGUGAAAUGUUUGCCCUUUUCCUUUGUCAUCUCGUCUCUAGCCCCCAUUCUUUCCUUCCU